rnacentral:rRNA from 1 species
GUGGGGAAUCUUCCGCAAUGGACGAAAGUCUGACGGAGCAACGCCGCGUGAGUGAUGAAGGUCUUCGGAUUGUAAAGCUCUGUUAAUCGGGACGAAAGAGCCUAGUGUGAAUAAUGCUAGGAAGUGACGGUACCGGAAUAGAAAGCCACGGCUAACUACGUGCCAGCAGCCGCGGUAAUACGUAGGUGGCAAGCGUUGUCCGGAAUUAUUGGGCGUAAAGCGCGCGCAGGCGGAUCUGCCAGUCUGUCUUAAAAGUUCGGGGCUUAACCCCGUGAUGGGAUGGAAACUACAGAUCUAGAGUAUCGGAGAGGAAAGUGGAAUUCCUAGUGUAGCGGUGAAAUGCGUAGAUAUUAGGAGGAACACCAGUGGCGAAGGCGAUCUGCUGGACAGCAACUGACGCUGAGGCGCGAAAGCGUGGGGAGCAAACAGGAUUAGAAACCCCGGUAGUCC